AACUUUUGGCAAUGGAUCACUUGGCUCUCGCAUCGAUGAAGAACGCAGCGAAAUGCGAUACGUAAUGUGAAUUGCAGAAUUCAGUGUAUCAUCGAAUCUUUGCACGCACCUUGCGCCCCUUGGCAUUCCGAGGGGCACACCCGUUUGAGUGGCGUGAACAUCCUCAACCUGCUUCGUUCUAUCGAACCAAGUAGGCUUGGAAUUUGGAGGUUUUUCUGCUGGCUUCCUCUGAAGCCAGCUCCUUUCAAAUCUAUCAGUGGUAUCCGCUUUGCUAGAUCCUCGACGUUGAUAAGAUGUUUCUACGUUUUGGGUUUCGCACGGGAAGGACCUGCUUCUAACCGUCUCCAUCGGGGACAAUGUUCGAGAGCCGAUCGCCCUUCACGGGGUGGGAAGCUUUUCGACCCAUGAAACCUUGACCUCAAAGCGGGUGAGACUACCCGCUGAACUUAUGCAU
rnacentral:misc_RNA from 1 species